rnacentral:tRNA from 1 species
GGGCCCGUCGUCUAGUGGCUAGAGUGAGCCGGGGUAGGCUCACAGCUAUGAUGCCACCCUGACACGGUGGUGGUCCCGGGUUCAAAUCCCGGCGGGCCCA